UUGCGAUUCAUUCAGUUCUCUAACUGGCUCUCGGAUGGAAUGAAUGCGUCGUUCUGCCCUCCUCGUGACUGCUGUUGUGAGCUCUCCUAACCUGCCCGGACCUGCCAUGGUGACGUCACACCUAGCGCCCAAGGAUGUCCAUGAAUAGUUAUCACAAGGAGGAAUGUGGUGCCACCUGGUGUGAUGAUUUGCGACUAGGUAGCCGCCUGUCGUCGAUCUCUGCAACCAUCUACCCAAUGAUGGCUCCGGAUACUCCAGACCGCUUUCUUCAAGAUGGCGUCGUUUAUUUUCAAUUAAAUUGUUUCUCUCCACUCUA